CACGUAGGGCGCAAGCGUUGUCCGGAAUUAUUGGGCGUAAAGAGCUCGUAGGUGGUUUGUUACGUCUGCUGUGAAAACCUAGGGCUCAACCUUGGGCUUGCAGUGGGUACGGGCAGACUAGAGUGCGGUAGGGGUGACUGGAAUUCCUGGUGUAGCGGUGGAAUGCGCAGAUAUCAGGAGGAACACCUGUGGUGUAGACAGCUUACUGGACCAUUUCUGACGCUGAGACACGAAAGCGUGGGUAGCAAACAGG
rnacentral:rRNA from 1 species